rnacentral:rRNA from 1 species
GACGAACGCUGGCGGCGUGCUUAACACAUGCAAGUCGAGCGGAAAGGCCACUUCGGUGGUACUCGAGCGGCGAACGGGUGAGUAACACGUGAGUAAUCUGCCCCUCACUUUGGGAUAGCCACCGGAAACGGUGAUUAAUACCGGAUAUGACCAUAUGUCGCAUGGCGUGUGGUGGAAAGUUUUUCGGUGAGGGAUGUGCUCGCGGCCUAUCAGCUUGAUGGUGAGGUAAUGGCUCACCAUGGCUUCGACGGGUAGCCGGCCUGAGAGGGUGACCGGUCACACUGGGACUGAGACACGGCCCAGACUCCUACGGGAGGCAGCAGUGGGGAAUAUUGGACAAUGGGCGGAAGCCUGAUCCAGCAACGCCGCGUGAGGGAUGACGGCCUUCGGGUUGUAAACCUCUUUCAGUACCGACGAAGCGCAAGUGACGGUAGGUACAGAAGAAGCACCGGCCAACUACGUG